rnacentral:lncRNA from 10 species
AUGACAAAAACCAGUAUCAAAGGCAACAGCAUUGUCUGUGAAAGCUUUAAUAAAACCACGUUUGUUUUUCUGGCGAAAGAGGCGCAAGAUGAAUGCUUCUUGACAAGACUCGAUUAUUCUGUGGGCUCUAUACACCAAGAUGCCUGAGGGGGAGAAACAUAAUUUAAACUACAGAACAGGAACAUCGUAACACCAACAGGCAGAGAUCACAGAGAUCAUAGAAUGCUGACUAUGUGCCAUGCUACCA